ensembl:lncRNA
AUUAGGAGCUGCCCUGACUUCAUUUACCUCCUCUGCGUGAACUAAACUGUGUAUAAGUUUUCGCCCCAUGGGGAGCAUGCAUCGAUCUGGGACAUGAUGGCGGUAUCGGGCAGCCCCCUCGCUGGCCUCGCUGCGGGUGGAGGAGGCGGUGGAGAAGGAGGGGGCCUCACAUCCACCAUGAGGGUCGAUGAAAAUUGAAAACAGAAGCAAGCUGGUCGAGUGAAUUGGUUUUCAUGACGGAGCAACAUUGAGUCAUUUUUCCCCUGAUGACGACGUGACCCCAAACCUCCAACCACGUCCACGCCGCAUUCAGAGCUCGCAGGACUAAACUUAAAGGACAACAUGGGACGAAGUUUGACUGGAGUCGCUGACAGCUGCUGCACGGGAGGUUAAAGCAGCACUAACCGGGUUUGUUGCCACGGAGACGAUCCGCCGUCCUGUUUACACCCAUGAGGCUCUUUGUGUGGGUGGAAGCUGUUGUAUUGUGAAAAAUAAAGAAACUCCGGACGGACAGAAGACAUCUCGGAUAGAACGUUUAGUUUAGUAAAAGAAGAAGUAAAAGGUCUUGUGCUAAAAAGAACAUCUCAGCUGAGGAGCCGCUGGUCAAACGGCCACAGAGCCGAUGGACCCCCCAUAGUGACUCCUGCCUCCACCAACCAGCUCCUGGAACAAGGAUGCCUGCAGGUAUUUAUACGGAUCAGUGGGAAAGGCAGUGUCCACGCCCCACACAUGUGACAUGUGACUCCUCCUGGUGCGUUCAAUGUAAUUUGGUUUUUGAAUGUCUCUCGGUUCAGUUGAGCUAUGACGUAUUACAUGCAUGCAUUUUGUUUGAUUACAUUACAUUAAAUAGAGUUAUAGCUGUGCAUUGGUAUUAUUCUAUCGAUUACAGCGGUAUCACCCAAUUCUUAUUUCUUUAUUGAUUACAUAGUUUCAAAAUCCUCGCCGUGUAGCCUGCUGGUGUACAGGUGUACAGGUGUGCUGGUGUGCUGGUGUACAGGUGUGCUGGUGUGCUGGUGCGCUGGUGCACUGGUGCGCUGGUGCGCUGGUGUGCUGGUGCACUGGUGUGCUGGUGUACUGGUGUGCUGGUGUACUGCUGUGCUGGUGUACAGGUGUGCUGGUGCCCUGGUACGCUGGUGCGCUGGUGCGCU